UGGGGAAUUUUGGGCAAUGGGCGAAAGCCUGACCCAGCAACGCCGCGUGAAGGAUGAAGUAUUUCGGUAUGUAAACUUCGAAAGAAUAGGAAGAAUAAAUGACGGUACUAUUUAUAAGGUCCGGCUAACUACGUGCCAGCAGCCGCGGUAAUACGUAGGGACCAAGCGUUGUUCGGAUUUACUGGGCGUAAAGGGUGCGUAGGCGGCAAUUCAAGUCAUCUGUGAAAUCUCCGGGCUUAACUCGGAACGGUCAGAUGAUACUGCUUUGCUAGAGUGCAGAAGGGGCAAUCGGAAUUCUUGGUGUAGCGGUGAAAUGCGUAGAUAUCAAGAGGAACACCUGAGGUGAAGACGGGUUGCUGGGCUGACACUGACGCUGAGGCGCGAAAGCCAGGGGGAGCAAACGGGAUUAGAUACCCUGGUAGUCCCUGAGCGGGCUGGCAAGGCGCAU
rnacentral:rRNA from 1 species